GUUACAAACUGCUGAAAGUCUGAAUCGAGACGCGGAAGUAAACAAAAAACAGUAUGUCAAAAUAUUGGAGGCAUUUUCUCUUUAUUAGCGUAAAGACUUGAAACAACACUGAAUGCAAGAGAACGAUGAUACAUUACAGACUGUCUUCUAAGUUGACUGCGGAAAGUGCAAAACUAUUAUCAGCAUGAUGUUGUGUUCAGUUACUGCACAUUGCAAAGUGAAUGUUCUCAGUGACUGUUACUGCAAUGAUUCACUUGAAAUGAUAUUUCCCACCACCAAUUGAUGGUUUGUGAGUGGAAGUUGUCAGCUACUUGCAGAGAGUUCUAACUUAGUCCAUUAAGCACUAGACACAUUGGAUACAGCCAUGAAACAAAUUACUGAUAGAUGUAUGAAAAACAGACAAAAGUAAGUUAUUACACUUUGAAUUGCACACAAUAGGUUUAUAACACUUUGAUCACAUGGGCUAUAUGAUGAUUAAAUUGUAAUUUUACUCCAAUUCAAGUGUGAAAGAUGUCAGAUUCGGAAAAUAAGUCAGAAUUGGUACAGAAUACUUAAAUAUAACAAUACCUUUGUAAUUGUCCAGGUAUCUUAAAGUUCCUGAAUAGCAUUUCUUUUAACAUGACAUGAAUCUAACAAGAGGGUCAUGAUGACCCUGGAUCGCUCACCUGAGUAGUAUGAGCUACAUGUUUCAAAUGUCAAACUGAUGA